rnacentral:rRNA from 1 species
UACGGAGGGUGCAAGCGUUAAUCGGAAUUACUGGGCGUAAAGAGUUCGUAGGUGGUUGAUUAAGUUAUCUGUGAAAUCCCUGGGCUCAACCUGGGCAGGUCAGAUAAUACUGGUUAACUCGAGUAUGGGAGAGGGUAGUGGAAUUUCCGGUGUAGCGGUGAAAUGCGUAGAGAUCGGAAGGAACACCAGUGGCGAAGGCGGCUACCUGGCCUAAUACUGACACUGAGGAACGAAAGCGUGGGGAGCAAACAGG